rnacentral:tRNA from 1 species
GCCACGGUGGUCUAGCGGUUAGAACGCUGGCCUUGUAAUCCUGGGGUCUCGGGUUUGAUUCCCGGCAGUGCCC